rnacentral:rRNA from 1 species
AACGAACGCUGGCGGCAUGCCUAACACAUGCAAGUCGAACGAGACCUUUGGGUCUAGUGGCGCACGGGUGCGUAACGCGUGGGAACCUGCCCUUAGGUUCGGAAUAACUCCCCGAAAGGGGUGCUAAUACCGGAUAAUGUCUUCGGGCCAAAGAUUUAUCGCCUUUGGAUGGGCCCGCGUUGGAUUAGCUAGUUGGUAGGGUAAAAGCCUACCAAGGCGACGAUCCAUAGCUGGUCUGAGAGGAUGAUCAGCCACACUGGGACUGAGACACGGCCCAGACUCCUACGGGAGGCAGCAGUGGGGAAUAUUGGACAAUGGGCGAAAGCCUGAUCCAGCAAUGCCGCGUGAGUGAUGAAGGCCUUAGGGUUGUAAAGCUCUUUUACCCGGGAUGAUAAUGACAGUACCGGGAGAAUAAGCUCCGGCUAACUCCGUG